CUUGUCAACGGAGUCUGUUUACAACUCUGAUGCUUUAUACUUAGAAAUCAUUACAACAAAAUUAGAUACAAAUGGAAGACUUCUCAGCUCCUCCAGCUAGAUUGGUUGGUUGGAUUUGGAGACAGGGUCUUGCUCUGUGGCCCAGGCUGGGAUGCAGUGAUAUGAUCAUAGUUCUCUGUAGCCUUGAACUCCAGGGCUCAAGUGAUCCUCCAGCCUCAGCCUUCCGAGUAGCUGGGACUACACGCAUGCACCCCUAUGCCCGGCUAAUUCUUUUUUUUUAAAAAUUUUUAGUAGAGAUGGGGUCUGGCUAUGUUGCUCAGGCUGGCCUUGAACUCCUGAGCUCAAGUGAUCCUCCCACUUGGGCCUCCCGGAGUGCUGGGAUUACAGUCAUGAGCCACUGAGCUCAGCCCAGGUAGAUUUUGUUUGAGACUUCCUACUGCAAAAGGAGUGAUUUUUAAAUUUCUCCCUUUACCUCUAUGUCCAAUCCAGAGUGCAUGCUUUCUCUAAAUAUGUUUCAAAUCAUCCAUUUCUCUCUGUCUCCACUGCCACU
rnacentral:lncRNA from 1 species